rnacentral:rRNA from 1 species
UCAAGCGAACAAGUGCAUGUGGUGGAUGCCUUGGCGAUCACAGGCGAUGAAGGACGCGGUAGCCUGCGAAAAGCCCCGGGGAGCUGGCAAACAAGCUUUGAUCCGGGGAUGUCCGAAUGGGGAAACCCACUCCUUAUGGAGUAUCCAUGACUGAAUACAUAGGUCAUGUGAAGCGAACGCGGUGAACUGAAACAUCUAAGUAACCGCAGGAAAAGAAAUCAACCGAGAUUCCCAAAGUAGUGGCGAGCGAAAUGGGAUGAGCCUUGUACUCUUUAUUUGUAUUGUUAGCCGAACGCUCUGGAAAGUGCGGCCAUAGCAGGUGAUAGCCCUGUAGGCGAAAACAGUAUGAAAGAACUAGGUGUACGACAAGUAGGGCGGGACACGUGAAAUCCUGUCUGAAGAUGGGGGGACCAUCCUCCAAGGCUAAAUACUCGUGAUCGACCGAUAGUGAACCAGUACCGUGAGGGAAAGGCGAAAAGAACCCCGGGAGGGGAGUGAAAUAGAUCCUGAAACCGCAUGCAUACAAACAGUCGGAGCCUCGUAAGGGGUGACGGCGUACCUUUUGUAUAAUGGGUCAGCGACUUACGUUCAGUAGCAAGCUUAACCGUAUAGGGCAGGCGUAGCGAAAGCGAGUCCGAAUAGGGCGUUCAGUUGCUGGGCGUAGACCCGAAACCAGGUGAUCUAUCCAUGGCCAGGAUGAAGGUGCGGUAACACGUACUGGAGGUCCGAACCCACUAACGUUGAAAAGUUAGGGGAUGAGCUGUGGAUAGGGGUGAAAGGCUAAACAAACCUGGAAAUAGCUGGUUCUCUCCGAAAACUAUUUAGGUAGUGCCUCGUGUCUCACCUUCGGGGGUAGAGCACUGUCAUGGUUGGGGGGUCUAUUGCAGAUUACCCCGCCAUAGCAAACUCCGAAUACCGAAGAGUGCAAUCACGGGAGACAGACAUCGGGUGCUAACGUCCGGUGUCAAGAGGGAAACAACCCAGACCGCCAGCUAAGGUCCCCAAAUAUGGCUAAGUGGGAAACGAAGUGGGAAGGCUAAAACAGUCAGGAGGUUGGCUUAGAAGCAGCCACCCUUUAAAGAAAGCGUAAUAGCUCACUGAUCGAGUCGUCCUGCGCGGAAGAUGUAACGGGGCUAAGCCAUAUACCGAAGCUGCGGAUGCGUGCUUGCACGCAUGGUAGGAGAGCGUUCCGUAAGCCUGCGAAGGUGCCUUGUAAAGGGUGCUGGAGGUAUCGGAAGUGCGAAUGCUGACAUGAGUAGCGAUAAAGGGGGUGAAAGGCCCCCUCGCCGUAAGCCCAAGGUUUCCUACGCAACGUUCAUCGGCGUAGGGUGAGUCGGCCCCUAAGGCGAGGCAGAAAUGCGUAGCUGAUGGGAAGCAGGUCAAUAUUCCUGCACCGUCGUUAGAUGCGAUGGGGGGACGGAUCGCGGAAGGUUGUCCGGGUGUUGGACGUCCCGGUCGCUGCAUUGGAGAAGGCGCUUAGGCAAAUCCGGGCGCAGGAUUCAAGGGUGUGGCGCGAGCGACUUCGGUCGCGAAGCAAUUGGAAGUGGUUCCAAGAAAAGCCUCUAAGCUUCAGUCUAACGAUGACCGUACCGCAAACCGACACAGGUGGGCGAGAUGAGUAUUCUAAGGCGCUUGAGAGAACUCGGGAGAAGGAACUCGGCAAAUUGGUACCGUAACUUCGGGAUAAGGUACGCCCUUGUAGCUUGACUGGCCUGCGCCAGGAGGGUGAAGGGGUUGCAAUAAACUGGUGGCUGCGACUGUUUAAUAAAAACACAGCACUCUGCAAACACGAAAGUGGACGUAUAGGGUGUGACGCCUGCCCGGUGCCGGAAGAUUAAAUGAUGGGGUGCAAGCUCUUGAUUGAAGUCCCGGUAAACGGCGGCCGUAACUAUAACGGUCCUAAGGUAGCGAAAUUCCUUGUCGGGUAAGUUCCGACCUGCACGAAUGGCGUAACGAUGGCCACACUGUCUCCUCCCGAGACUCAGCGAAGUUGAAGUGUUUGUGAUGAUGCAAUCUACCCGCGGCUAGACGGAAAGACCCCAUGAACCUUUACUGUAGCUUUGCAUUGGACUUUGAACCGAUCUGUGUAGGAUAGGUGGGAGGCUAUGAAACCGGAACGCUAGUUUCGGUGGAGCCGUCCUUGAAAUACCACCCUGGUUUGUUUGAGGUUCUAACCUUGGUCCGUGAUCCGGAUCGGGGACAGUGCAUGGUAGGCAGUUUGACUGGGGCGGUCUCCUCCCAAAGGGUAACGGAGGAGUACGAAGGUACGCUAGGUACGGUCGGAAAUCGUGCUGAUAGUGCAAUGGCAUAAGCGUGCUUAACUGCGAGACCGACAAGUCGAGCAGGUGCGAAAGCAGGUCAUAGUGAUCCGGUGGUUCUGUAUGGAAGGGCCAUCGCUCAACGGAUAAAAGGUACUCUGGGGAUAACAGGCUGAUACCGCCCAAGAGUUCAUAUCGACGGCGGUGUUUGGCACCUCGAUGUCGGCUCAUCUCAUCCUGGGGCUGUAGCCGGUCCCAAGGGUAUGGCUGUUCGCCAUUUAAAGAGGUACGUGAGCUGGGUUUAAAACGUCGUGAGACAGUUUGGUCCCUAUCUGCCGUGGGCGUUGGAUAUUUGAAGGGGGCUGCUCCUAGUACGAGAGGACCGGAGUGGACGAACCUCUGGUGUACCGGUUGUGACGCCAGUCGCAUCGCCGGGUAGCUAUGUUCGGAAGAGAUAACCGCUGAAAGCAUCUAAGCGGGAAACUCGCCUUAAGAUGAGAUAUCCCUGGAGGCUUGACCUCCUUGAAGGGUCGUUCGAGACCAGGACGUUGAUAGGUCGGGUGUGUAAGCGCAGUAAUGCGUUCAGCUAACCGAUACUAAUUGCCCGUAAGGCUUGAUC